UACGUAGGGACCAAGCGUUGUUCGGAUUUACUGGGCGUAAAGGGCGCGUAGGCGGCAUGACAAGUCACUUGUGAAAUCUCCGGGCUUAACUCGGAACGGUCAAGUGAUACUGUCGCGCUAGAGUGCGGAAGGGGCAAUCAGAAAUUCCUGGUGUAGCGGUGAAAUGCGCAGAGUAUCAGGAGGAACACCGGUGGCGAAGGCGGAUCUCUGGGGCCGUAACUGGACGCUGGAGGAGCGAAAGCAUGGGGAGCGAACAGG
rnacentral:rRNA from 1 species